GAGAGGGCUGAGCUGAUAGUCUACUCACUAAUCAUAUCCUUCAGAUAUAUAUCGUAUCUCUGAGAUAGUUUAGUUUACAGUUGCAGAAGAAAUGUCUACCAUCAUUGUAGCACUCCUGGUUUUCCUGACUAUCCAUGGAGCCUCAGGUAUCAGUCCUAGAUGCUAAUGCCUCUAUAAGGAGAAAAGGCCAAUUGGACGUUUCAUAAGCACAGUGGAGAUUUACCUAGCAAACUCCUACUGCAAAAGCACUGAGAUUAUUGCUACUCUCAAGAAGGAGGGGCAAAAGAUUUGUCUGGACCCCAAUGCUCCAUGGGUCAAACAAGUGCUUAAAAGUAAAAAGAUUACACAGACACCUUGAAGAAUAUACCUUCCCUGAUUUGGCUAAGAUGGACAGAAGAUAGACACAUGGAAAAUAGAAGCACAGACUGCAGUUACAGAACAUAAACUGGGUUCUGUUUGAAGGUGUAGAAGCAGGAUUGUUUAUACCCGUUUUCACUUUACAGCACUUAACUAUGUUCUCUUACUAUUGAUGUGAACUAUCUGUGUUUGUAUUUCCUUAAAAAUAUAUCCUUAUAUACAUUACAUGUUCAUUUAAUACAUUGUGGGGAAAAACCUUAUUAACUAACAGUAAAGAGGGACUAGAUAGUGGGCAAUGAGGACAGAGCACAAUAGCAAGUCAUGAAAUGGGUUUAAAACUUUAUUAGAAAAGUUGGCAUUUAAUGGUUUGUUUUUGUUUGUUUGUAAGGUUUUUAUUAAGCAAUAAAGGUAUUAAUAGAUUUUUUUUUUUUUACAUAUUACAUAGGAUGUUUUGUUGUUGUUUUUUUUAAAUAAUUCACAUUACUACUGUCCCAUUUCUCCAUCUCUGAAUAUAACAUGCCAUACAUCUAAAACUCAUCAUACAGUAUAACUCACCAAAUUCUGUUUUCUUAAAGCAUAUUAAUAAAAAAUAAUAAGAGGAAGAGGAAGUCUGGCCUGGGAAAGCAUUGUGUUACAUUGAGCCCUGUUUCUCUAUAGUUUUUGUUUCAUCCUUUUGCAAAGAUAUAAACACUGUGUGACUGUUCCAUGUGCUGUGCUACAUACUAUACAUUUUGUCAAGGACAUUUUUGCUGCCUUUGAAAUGUCAGGAAAAAAUUGUGGAAAAAUAAAUCUAUUCAUCCAUUUUCUUAACUGGUUAUCCAAUGCAGAGUCAUGGUGGGGCUGGAAUCCUGCCCAAAAUGUCAUAGGGUGAGAGGUUGACAGGUACACUCUAUUCAGGUCCAUUGCAGGGCAAAGCAAAAAGGAGAAUUUCUUGGAUUGUGUCAUGUAGACUAUGGCACACAGUGAGAUUAUAUUUUCAAUGGAAGGAGAUUGCCACCUCUUGGACAAAGAUGCAUACCAUUAGGAUUGUCUCAUUUACUGAAUACCUCUAUAGUAGCUGAAAGCCAUUAUGUUCUUUCAAAAUUAAACAGUUUUUACUGUGCCCUUUUCAAGAAAAAUCCUUAGCUGGUGUAUAACCAUAGUCAUUUAUGCUUCUUCUGAGCUGACUGCAGAACAACUAGUAUUUUAGUUUUAAACACAGUAACAAAGUUAACAAUAAAAAAAAUGUACUAUGUACUUGUUUUGUAUCAUCACUGCUGCUUUGAAUAAAGACUUGUGAAUAAAGGAAAUACAGUCACCUCUUUUUGGGACUGUGAUUUCAAAAGCAACAGCAGAUAUUUGAUCUUAGCCUAUGAAAGUUAUGCUGACAUGCAGAAUGUCACAAUAUUAACCACUUCCCAGUUACACAUCUGCUUUUUAUUCCCCCUUUGACUUGCCCUAACUCUCUACUCCCUUCAGAUCUGUUCUCUGUCGUUCUGUAACUCUUGUUUUCCUACUUUUCCCACUGACUUAAAUGCAAAUGUUAACACACUGGGAUGUCAUGUUGAUUUACUGCCAAAGUAAAUAA